rnacentral:rRNA from 1 species
GUGUGCAAGUCAUUGGGUAUAAAUUGGAUGAAACCUAAAGGCAUAAUUAAAAUAACUAUAAAAAAUUUUUAAAUGGGAUUAUGAGUGAUCUAAUUUAUGUAUCAUUCUUCCAUCCCGGGGCGCUCAUAUAUAAACAUGAUUUAAGCAAUUGAAUUCUCUGUUUGUGAGCGUACCUUAAGCAUACAUGCUGUGACCCGAAAGAUGGUGAACUAUACCUGAUCAAGUUGAAGUCAGGGGAAACCCUGAUGGAGGACUGAAGCAGUUCUGACGUGCAAAUCGAUUGUCAGAGUUGGGUAUAGGGGCGAAAGACCAAUCGAACCAUCUAGUAGCUGGUUCCUUCCGAAGUUUCCCUCAGGAUAGCUGGUGCAAUGAAAAUUAUAUAAAUAUAAUCUUAUCUGGUAAAGCGAAUGAUUAGAGGCCUUGGGGUCGAAACGACCUCAACCUAUUCUCAAACUUUAAAUGGGUAAGAACCUCAUCUUUCUUGAUGUGAAGAUAUA